rnacentral:lncRNA from 1 species
UUCUAUUGUUAUAAAAUGCAAAAGAGGUCAGAAUGGCUGGAGCUUUUGAAGGACUCAGAAAACUAGAGGUUGCUAGAUUUUAUUUGUAGUAGGAAGUGUUUGACACACCUAGAUGUCUAUAAUAGGGGUUUGUUUACAUAAAAUAAUUGACAUGUAUAUAAUAGAGUACUAUGCAACCAUUAAACAUGACGUAGAAACAUAGUUCUUAAUAAGAUAUCCACAAUAUAUUGAUAAAUUUAAAAAGGUAUGGUCAUAUGUUCUGUUGUAUCUCUUUUUGUGUGUGACAUGGGUUCAGGGAGUCUGGUAGCAGGUGAGUGAAUGUGGGUGACUCCAUCCCUUCCCCCCUUCAGGUAAUAGCUGGGGGUGGGGCUGGGAGAGGGAGAAAUGGGGGCUACAGAAGAGGCUCUGAAGUGGCUGGGAGAUGCCCCAUUGAGGUGUAAGGGGCCUUAGGGUCAUUCUCAGAACAUUGGGAGCAGAGAAAUGGUUUCUUGUACAGGGUAGGACCUGAUGCAGCCACUGUGGGGUUACUUCACCCCAUGGAUGGAAAGGACUGUGUAUUUAAGCCCUGGGCAACCCCUUUGGAAGAGCAGAGAUGGGAAGGGCAUUUCUCCUGUGAGGAGGCAGAAUGUCGAUGUGGCCCAGGGAAGGGACAGUGGCUGAGAGUCAGGAGUGACAAAGCAGAAUUGCCCCAGGGAAGCUAGGGUGGUCCAAGGCAGAAGAAGAUAAAGAUGAUGCAUGGCCACCUGAGCUUGAAAAGCUAGGUGGAUGAGCAACACGGGGCAGUAGCCUUCAAGGAGCACCAGCAAGGUGCUGUGAGGGUGAGCAGUGAUAGACACAGGCAGAGGUGGGCACUGGCUUGGGAGCAUGUGUGGGACACCUCAAGAUGUCCAGGGAUACUUGACAUACUACAGGGAGGAACCUCAGAAAGGGAUCUGGGGGCCUGAGGACAGGCAGGUACAGCCUAUCAAAUCAGCAAUGACCAUUCAUCUUCCUCAGUUGAGCCCCCCACCUGGUAAGACCUGGGGGGUUUUGGGGUUGCAUUUACUUAAUUUUUAUUUUUUUAUUUUAUUUUUUGUCUUUUGGGGCUGCACCCAUGGCAUAUGGAGGUUCCCAGACUGGGGGACUAGCUGGAGCUACAGCUGCCGGCCUAUGCCAAAGCCACAGCAACACUGGAUCCGAGCUGUGACUGUGACCUACACCACAGCUCACAGCAAUGCCAGAUCCUUAACCCGCUGAGCAAGGCCAGGGAUCGAACCCGAAACCUCAUGGUUCCUAGUCGGAUUCGUUUCCACUGUGCCAUGACGGGAACUCCUGCAUUUACUUAAUAAAUGAUACGUACACAAAGAAAAGCCUAGAAAAGUAGACAUCAAGGUGUGAACAAUGGCUGUCUCUGGGUGGAUGGAUGAGUGUUUUUCUUUCUUUCUUGUUUGGUAUUUGUGUGUUUUCUGGUAUUCCUGAAAGGAACAUGUGUUGCCCUUAUAAUAACAAUAAAAAAAAAAAAAACCCAGUAAAAGUUGUUUUUAAAAAAAUCAAAUUUCAGAACACAUGUUGCCUGGGGACAUGCUUAGGAGCACAGCCAUUUAAAACUAAGUGGUGGCCAAAGAACAAACUGUGACUGCGAUCGAUGCUGAUGAUCUCCUCUCACUUCCUGGGGUCAGAGAACUUAGCAUGAGUUCAGGCCCCUGUGGUGGGCUUGCGUGGUGCCAGGACCAUGUGCGUACCAGCCAUCAACCUAAUACACUCACUGUUUACCCAGUCCUGCCAGUGUCCACCUCACAAGCUCCUUCCAGGCGUCCCUGUUGACCCCCUCUCUCUCUGUUGGCCCUGCCUGCUUCCUGAACCUUGUAGACGUGCAGAGGGAGGACCAGGGUGGGUGAGGCCAGGGUAAGUCAUGUGGCCCAGGUCCAGGGUUUGAUAUGCAGGGGUGAGGCCUGGGUAACCAAAAGCUUCCAAGGAUAUUGUUUUUACCAUCAUCUUUAUCACAUGUCCUUGGCUCUUCAUUAAUAUCCUUUCAUGUCCUUUUGGAGCUCAAGGCCUUCUUUGAGUGGCAGCUUCUUUGGCAUGGGUCCUGGUAGCCUGCCAAGCUCCUGCAGCCCAGUCCAUCUUAGAUCAUCUUCCUGGUACCCUCUGACCACUGGGUGAUCUCAUCCCCUGGGAACUGGGACUACCAAGUCUCUGACUCAAAUGUCCCUCGUAUCUGGAUCCUUGUUACUGUGUUUGGCCCACCAGACUGAACCCUGCCCAUCUUGGCACCAGGAUUUGUGCAUGAUUUUGCCCCACCAUAGGUAGGGUGGAGUGGACAGGACAUUUCUAGCCUUGGGCCAGCAAGCCUUAUGGGGGCUGCUGCCAUCUGUUCCUAGCUCCCCGCCCAUGAGCUUACCUGGUACCACUUCCCCUCCCUGUUCCUGCACUUGAACAAAGUUGGCCUUAUUUUCAUUUCUUGAACCUGCUGAGCUUAUUUCUACCCCAGGGCCUUUGCAUUCACUUGUUCUCCUUCCCUGGGUCUCUACACCCGGUGGUUUUUCUCUAUUGUUGAGACUCAGUUCAAAGUCACUGCUGCAGAGAGGCCUUCCCUGCCCACUGCCAAGGAUGUCUCUCCAGACUCUCUCUCUCCAGACCAGGGGUUGGCAACUUUGUCUGUCCCGGGCUAUACAGGAAAUCGUUUAGGCUUUAUGGGACAUGUGCUGUCUCUGUCGCAUACUCUCCUUUGCUUUGUGACCCUUUAAAAUCGUGAAAACCACUCAUAGCUUGCAGUUCCAUGGAGAGACAGGUGGCAGGGUGAGAUCGGGACUCUGGGCUGUAUUUUAGUAACCCCUGCCCUAGAUCAUCACGCUGAUUAGUUGUUUCACAAUUUAUUCCAAUCUGGAAUUAUCUCCUGCAUUUAUGAACUUGGUCCUGCUGGUCUCUCCCGCUAGAGGACGGAGAUGUGUCUGAUGCGUAUCUCUGGUGUCCGGUACAGGGCCUGGCAUAUGGUAGGCCCUCCAUACAGUUUUGCUGGCUGAAUCAAUGAAUGAAAGACGAAAUGAAUGAACAGGUUGCAAAGGCCGGUGAAUUUGGGCCUGAAUCCACAUCUGCUUGUGAGUAGCUGUGUAUAUUUGGGCAAAUCAUUUAAUGGUCUCAUUUUCAAUUUUAUCCUGAGUCAAAAGAGAAUAGUGACAGCUGCAUUGCUGAGGUGAGGAGUCACGGGGAUGCCACAGAAGCCCCAGCCAGGAGCCCCUCCACGGGGAGGGCAUCUCCCGCCCCUUCCCGGGCUGUGCCGUCCCCGCCCCCUUGGCCUCCCUUUGGUCCACCCUCACCACAGUCCCAGCAGCCUUUGUGGCGGAGCCUCCCCAAGUGUGACAAAUCUCUUGGAGCAGUGGACAGUGUUAACAGCAGAGGGAGCUGCAUGAGGCUGGGAUGGAGGCCCCUGGGCUGACCGGUGGAACCUGGGAGGACAGGGCUCUCUCCCCAUGGGUGUGCAGGUCCCCUUGAGUCCCCAGCCAGGCCUGGCUCCAGCUCUCUCAUUCCAGGGGUGGGAGGACACAUCACAGCCAAUGCAGAGCUUCAGAUCGCCACCCCCCCACCCCCAGCAGCGCUUCUUGCCUCCAGGGAACUGGAAGGAGAUCCUUGAAGUGUGUGUCCUGCCCACCUGCAGCCACGUGGAGGGGCUUGGAGGAAUCCCACAAUCCUGGAAUAUCAAGGCAGAGGGAUGCUGCGAGAAGCCCUCAGGCUGCCUCGGCCUCUCCUCUCUUCCUCUCACUGUUUUCGGUCGCUCUUGGGGGUGGGAGGUGGGGGUGGGGUCUGGCCUCUCUGCCACUGUGUUGAUCCCUCUUGUCCACCCUCUUCCUGCUUCCAGUGUCCCUCUAAGUCUGAUCAGGCCAACCCACUGCCUCUGGACGAAGCGUAAAUCCUUAGUCUGCUCUGAGAUGCCAUCCACGGUCUGGGGCCCACCUCCUCCCACUGUCCAUUCACCCUUCCCUGGGUGGCUCCUGUGACAGCCUUCACUCCUGGCUGCAUUCAAGGCCAUCUCUCCUGGAAGAUGGCCCUGGACCUUCCCUCUCACUCUCCCCACGACCCCCCAGCAUAUUAUCAGGCCUCUGGGGAUGCUCUGUUGAUGGUGCCUUAGUUCAAUCUGAAUGACUAACACGUGUCAGCUGUUCACCACCUGCUGGCCCUCCCUCCACCCUAAGUGCUUGAAGGGCUCACAACCACUCUCCAAGGUAGCUGGUUAUUACACCACUUUCUGGAGAAAGAGAGUGAAAGACUAGGGUGUGAGGUAACCAGCCCAAAGGCACACGCUCGUGAGUGGUGGAGCUCUGACGGGGCCCCACGGGGGUCAGGCCCCAUACCUGACCCCCCUGAGGUCGUGAAGCUGCAUGGGCAUGGCCCCUGCUGAGAGAGAUGCCUCCAUCUCUGAGGGGGAGUAACCAGAGUAGUAGGUGUACAGCUUGGCUGCCAUGGAUGGCGGGCUUGGCACCUGCUGGCUCACCUGAUGAGCAGCUGAGUGCUGUGACUUCUGGGCACAACCCCUGGUCCACCGCAGAGUGAAGCAGGUCCCUGAGGGGAACAAGUGGCUCGAGGUCAUGCACUAUGCUCGUUCUAGGGCCCACCUGCCUAUUUCCCCUCAUCCCUGAGAUGUACAAUCCAGGGCUAGAAAUGGACCCUGCUUCUGAGCCGGGCUUGACAUUGGCACUUCCUCCAGUUCAUGCACGCUUAGUCCUUUCAGCCUCCCUCCGUGGACCUGCAGGCUGGAUGCCACCUCUUCACAGCCCAACAAAGGUAACUGACUAGGUCUGUAGAUCAGGCGGGCCUCUGGGACCUCUCUGUGAACAAGCACCCGUGAGGCAUCCAGAGUCGAAAACAGUUUUAUGUGCUGAGGAGUCCAUGUGUGUGUCCAUCAUAAUGGAUUGUAUCUGGGUCUCCAAAGUGCAGACCUGAUCCACUCUCCCGAUGUCUCAAGAAUGUUCGGUGGCUCCCUGGUGCCCCCUGAAUGAAGCUCAAUCGCGUCAUCUUGGCUUUCAAGAGCGUUCUCAAUUUGAUGCUUCUUAUCUUUCUGCUACACCCAUAAGUGCCCUUGUAAGUGCCCAUCACGGUCAAGUGGGACUCCUUGCAGGAGGAGGUGGUCAGGUAAGGUAUAAGGGACAUAGACCAUGCAGCCCCACCUGUGCAUCCCUGUGUGGCCUGGGAGUCACCGCUCCCAAACCCGAGCUGUGUCCAGGACCACAUGCUGCCUCUCUGCUCUCCUGUAGGUCCCCCGAGUGGUAGAAAGGUGUGAAGAGGGUCACGGUCUCCUGUAGGGGAGGAAGGGAAGAGAGAGAGGCUGCACGGUGCUGGGCAUGUUGGAGUCUUUGAAGAUUCAGUCCUUGUUACUCCUUUCCUUCUGUCGUAUUUCCUUCCACUCCGUUAGACGGAUGCUGUUUAGGUGACUUACAAGUGCCAGGUGAGUGAGAUCCAGAGGCAGUGGAGGCGGAAUCACAGUUCUCUCCACGAGAUCCUGAGUUCCAUUCCUGGUCCUCAGGGGCACCCUCUCUCCUUCCUCUGAGCUCAGGGUGCCGAGAGCUUUUGGGGGUCCAUAGCCAAUCCCACCAGAGCACAAGCUGUAGCCUCUGCUGACAAGGAGGCUCGGGGGGAUGGCUGGGGGUGCUCCUGGCAGGUAUGCUGUGGUCUCACAGCGAAUAUAAUUUUCCCGGGACAGAUGUUUUCUGCUGGUGGAAAAAGAAAUAAGUAUGCUGGGACCCCCCACUUCCACGGCUGGAGAGUCGCCAGCACUAAAUCAGCAGCUCUCUUUUGAGUGUGUGCAUGCAUUCUUCCUGCCUGGUCAGUGGCCGAGGGCCACCCUGGGUCUUUGCAGGAGAUGGGGGCGGGGGAGAGAGAAAGUGUGUGUGUGUGUGUGUGUGUGUGUGUGUGUGUGAGAGAGAUGGGAUGUGUGGCCAAACCCCGACUGGCCUCAGCUUAAUUAAAAAAAUGCCGCCUCCUCCAGGAAGUGGUCCCAGAGCACCUCAGCUGGAAAUGAUGACAUUCUUUUGAUACUUGGGGCUUCCCACCCAGUUUUCUGGGGGAGCCUUGCAAAGUGUGAAGCAGACACAGACGGGAGAGACAUAGAGAUGACUUCGGAUCCUAGUGUCCUUGUGUAAGAGCUCAUGAUCUUGGGCAACACAAUUCCUUGCUCUGAACCCCAGUUUCCUUACUUUAGGAAUAACAGUGCCCACCUGUUGGGGUUGUCCUGGAGAUUUAAUGAAAUCACAUUCGAGCCUGGCAGAGGGAAGGCUUUCAAGGCAGGGGAGUCCCCCCAUUCUUCCCUGCUGCCAGCUCGUCAAGGGUAGCGCCACAUCCUUCUCCUGUUCCCUCUGUGCUGGCUUUAGCCCUGCCUCCGGGUUGGGGAUGAAAACAUAUAAACAUUGGGGGGAAUGGUGGACACUUGACACAGUGUCAGGAUCAAGUAAAAUUUGGCAUCAUAAUGGAAAACCUCUGGAGUUCCCGUCAUGGCUCAGCGGAAAUUAAUCUGACCAGCAUCCGUGAGGAUGUAGGUUCCAUCCCUGGCCUCACUCAGUGGGUUAAGGAUCCGGCAUUGCUGCGAGCUCAGGUGUAGGUUACAGACACGGCUCAGAUCCCACGUUGCUGUGGCUGGGGCAUAGGCCAGUGGCUAUAGCUCCGAUUCAACUCCUAGCCUGGGAACCUCCAUAUGCUGUGGGUGUGGCC